rnacentral:rRNA from 1 species
GUGGGGAAUAUUGGACAAUGGGCGAAAGCCUGAUCCAGCCAUGCCGCGUGUGUGAAGAAGGUCUUCGGAUUGUAAAGCACUUUAAGUUGGGAGGAAGGGCAGUAAGUUAAUACCUUGCUGUUUUGACGUUACCAACAGAAUAAGCACCGGCUAACUUCGUGCCAGCAGCCGCGGUAAUACGAAGGGUGCAAGCGUUAAUCGGAAUUACUGGGCGUAAAGCGCGCGAAGGUGGUUCAGCAAGUUGGAGGUGAAAUCAUCGGGCUCAACCUGGGAACUGCCUCCAAAACUACUGAGCUAGAGUACGGUAGAGGGUAGUGGAAUUUCCUGUGUAGCGGUGAAAUGCGUAGAUAUAGGAAGGAACACCAGUGGCGAAGGCGACUACCUGGACUGAUACUGACACUGAGGUGCGAAAGCGUGGGGAGCAAACAGGAUUAGAAACCCGGGUAGUCC